rnacentral:lncRNA from 1 species
AUGGGCAGCGGGAGCAGCAGGAGCAGGAGAGUGCGGAGGCAGUUGUGCAGCCCUGCUAAGAACCCAGGGGUCCCUGGUGUCCAGGAGUUGAGCGAUGGGCAGCAGGGCACUGAGGCCUGCCAGGAGGAGAAGGACGCGAAGGAUGGACAGGAGGAAGGCUCAAAGAAAGGGGCCCAAGGAGACUGCGCUGUCCAAGACUCUGAGUCUCCCCGAAAGGGGGAGGAGAAUGAGUCGGAGUCAGAAUCACUGCUACUGGACCAGGUAUUGGCCGAGUCGGAAGCCUGGGACCCAGCAUUCAAACCCUGGCCAAGUCGGGCCUCCAGCUCUCGGCCGGGGCCGAAUCCACACCUGGGUGGGGCUCCCCACUCCCAGGCGAACCUCAGCAGCAGCGGAGAGCGCAAGGUAUCUCCUGUGCAGAGCACUCAGGAUAUAGAGAACAAUAACACCUUUGAGUAAGUAUCAUGGAAAUCCUGUUUUUACCAGUAUAAUGGGGAUAUUAGCCAAUGAGGGCCCAGCCCUUAGAACAUGAUUGUUCUGCAGACAAUUAGUAGACUUUUAAUCAUCAUAUCAGUACCAGCCCCUCAAAUCACUCCUAUCCCUCCCAAACCCACCUGGAGUCACUUUCCUAGUCCUUGACCUUAUAUUUAUAUCCAUUUAGUGAUUUCAUCAGUUCCCACGAGUUGAAUUAUCAUCUCUAUUCAGAUGACUGCAAAAUGUAUGUAUCUAGACCUAUGAGUCUGAAUUUCUUAUCACCAACAACCAGCUGGAUAUCUUCAUCCAGAUAUUCCACUUACAUCUCAAACUUAAUACAUACAAAAUAGAACUCAUUAUCUCUCCCAUCCCCCAAACUUACCUGUUAUUAAGCUUUUCUUAUUUCUGUUGAGGGUAACACCCAGCAGUUUGCUGGGGCCAGCUCUAACCAGCUUGAAAGAUUAUUAGAUUUCAAGUGUGAGUAUUUAUACCUUAGAAAUCACCAACCUCUACAAAUCAGGGCUUGGUUUAUUGUUUUGUUGAUUAUCUAGACUUAAGAAAAUGUUAAUGAUAUAGAUUCAACUUAGAAAUAUAUGUGCAUUUUUUCCAGAUAGCCCAGUGGUUAUACAUUUUACCAGCACACUCCCGAUACUACCACCCUUCUAGUCAUCCAGAUUUCCAACUGUGAAGUCAUCCUCUUCCUUAUACUACAUAUCCAGGCAGUUUCCAAGUCUUUAUCCAUUCUACUUCCAUAAUAUAUCCAUCUUUUCUCUCUAGUCCUUGUUGGCCUGAAUUCAGGCCCUUAUUAUCUCAGAUCUAGACUAUUAUUAGAAAGCUAGCCUCCUAAUUAUUCUUCCUGCUUCUGGUCUCUCCUUUUUCCUAUCCAUCCUUUAUGCAACUGCCAAAAUAUUCUUCCUAAAGUAUAGGUCUGACCAUGCCACCAUAGUCACCACCCCACCCACACACCCUCCAGUCAAACAAGUCU